rnacentral:rRNA from 1 species
UCCCAGACUCCUACGGGAGGCAGCAGUGGGGAAUAUUGCACAAUGGGGGGAACCCUGAUGCAGCGACGCCGCGUGAGUGAAGAAGUAUCUCGGUACGUAAAGCUCUAUCAGCAGGGAAGAAAAUGACGGUACCUGACUAAGAAGCCCCGGCUAACUACGUGCCAGCAGCCGCGGUAAUGCGUAGGGAGCGAGCGUUGUCCGGAAUUACUGGGUGUAAAGGGAGCGUAGGCGGGGAUGCAAGUCUGAAGUGAAAGGCGGGGGCCCAACCCCCGGACUGCUUUGGAAACUGUAUAGCUGGAGUGCAGGAGAGGUAAGUGGAAUUCCUAGUGUAGCGGUGAAGUGCGUAGAUAUUAGGAGGAACACCAGUGGCGAAGGCGGCUUACUGGACUGUAACUGACGUUGAGGCUCGAAAGCGUGGGGAGCAAACAGGAUUAGAUACCCCUGUA